rnacentral:lncRNA from 1 species
AAAUUAAAUCAUUAGUUUAGCUAUUUAAUUUUCAAAGGAUUUUAAAGGCUUUUCCUCCCAUUACUAGACAAAGAUGUUCAGUUUUCUGAGAAAACAUAGUUUCAACCAAAAUUGUUGAUCUUUUCAAAAUGUCAACAUUGACAAGUAAAUAAUUUAGCCAUUUUUUAAAAAUUUAAGGUCACUCUCUUCUUUUUUCUCUCCCCUUUAUUUUCAUAGUUUGGUGAAUGGACAAAGAAGAAUUUUAGGACAACAUUCAUCUAAUGGUUUCAGUUGCCUUUCUCUCUCUAGUCUUUAAAGUAUAUUAUCCCAUUUACCUUUUUUCCUACGUUUGUUCCCCCUUGGGUUCUGACUUGACAAAUUGGUCUUCAGCCUAAGUGUUUAUAAAAUUCCUUUUGUAUCUCUAAGUUGCAAAUACACCUUUAAGCUUAUGAAAAAUAAGUUAGUAUGACUACUGGUAUAAUGUGUUGCCAUUUUAUUAUAAUUUUUUUCCUUUUGAAAAUUGUGAGUGAAGAUUAUUAGAAAUAUGAGUCUUCCAUUGUGUGGGGGAGGAAAUAGAAUUUUCAAUUAUUCCUCAUUUUAAUGGAAUCAGAAUGAAAAAUCUGACUUCUCUAUCUAACUGUAAAUGUAGUAGCAAUAAUCUUGCUGCUAAUUUUUCCUUUCUGAAAUUACUGACACUGCUACCAUUUUUAUUACCAGAAGGAAAGUAAUCCACUGUUUUCUGGAACUACCUUAAAGAAAAAAGUAAUGAAAUUUUAGCACUCUCUGGAAUUUUUAAAGUGUCCACUUCUAGGGCCUAUAAAUAUUCUGAUUCUACCUACCACAGUCUCCACACCUGUAAUGUCUUAAAUCAGAAACUGUAACAAAUCUGGUUUGUGGCUGUGAACAGAGUGGGCUCCACUGAAAUACACGACCACCAACCUUUACAGUUAACUUUAGUCACUGCAUAAUUCAUUUUUAAUACUGCUGUAUCUUUUCUGCUUUAUCAAAAGUUAUGAUUUCAAGUUCUAUUUGUACCUUUUCUGGCUUAGUCUGAACCAGCUUUUUUUUUUUUAAUGUGUCAGGUUAUUAAUCAAAUUUAUACUGUUGUAAAAGUUUCCAUUACUCUCAGCAUCUCUUCCUGCCCCCGCAAUUUUUCACUAUUUGGAUCAAGGUAGCAUUUACCGAGUACUUAUUUUCACACAUUGUGCUUUGAUUAUUAUAUUUAAUUCUUUUUCUAUUUUUAAUGUAGAUUUUAUGAUACAAGCAUCACUGAGGCCUCUGAGAUAAAUUCCACCCAGUUGAGUUCAUUUCAGACUUCAAGUAAACAUUUUUGUUUCCACAGUGAUAAGCUUCUUUAUUUAGUUAAGAAUUACAUAUUAGAAUCUGCUAUGUAUGAAAGGACACACAUCUAAAUUAUAUAAGCGUAAGAAUAUUUUCAUCAAAUACUGAUUCAGCAUGUCUCUUCAGUUAUAUGUUGUAUAUGAGUUUAUUAUAAAAUGACUUCUCUUGAAUUUCUUUCUUAUUGAAGCUUAACCUUUAUGACAUCGCCAAAAAAUGUUGAGCCAUUCUUCAUAAGCUUAUCCAUUUCAGGCAUUAGCUAAAUGUCAUUUGGUGGCUUCUGUUACAUGAAUGUUGAAUCAGUAAGAGAAAUUAUCUGAAGUGGAUUUGAAGACUCUUCCUUUGAUUCUAGUGAAGAGAUCCUUUAAGACCCUGAGAAAACAUGUGGCAAUUCUCUGUGAAUUUGGAAAGGAAGCAUUCACCUAUGAAAGAAAAUGCUUCCAUCAGGUACUUCAAGGUUGAAGAGGCAGAGGACGAGUUAUCCACAAGGAAUUUGGAAGAGAAGCUUGUUUCAAAGUUGGAUGAGCCAUGGUAAAAUCUCAAACAGUUUGUUAUUUUUAGCUCUGCCAAGAAAUAGCUAAUUUCAUGCAAGAAUUAUCUUGUAUCUGACCCAGAGCAAAGACUCCCUGGCUAUUCUUUGUAUAUGUUGAUGCAAUGGGAGGAUUGUUUCAUGCUUUAAAAACCAAGUAAGGAAGAACUUGAGAAAAAGAAAAGAGAGUUGUAGGGUAGGUAGGUAAACAAUUUUGCUUUUCUUUUUGGCAGACUUAUUUGUAACUGAAAAAGAAAAGACUGUCGAGAUAUUUGGUAACCAGGAAGAAAUGAAGUGGCUAUUUUCCCCCCAAAUUUUUAUAAACCUCUUUUUCUAAGUCAGGUUCCUUUAGGAAACUGACUAACUAGGUAGUUAGGUCUUUCUUUCUCUGCUGUUGACAUUCAACACAAACAAUUCCGUCAUUUAUCCUUUAUGUAUAUAUAUAUUUUAAAAAUCAAUGUUUGCAAUUUUGAUUGCCUUCUUCACAAUAUUCUUGAGACUUGUGAGAAUAAGAUGAAGCAUUAAAAAUAGGUCAUUUAGAGAGCAGGCAUAGGGAAUGAAGAAGUGUAGGAAAUCAACUGUUUCAUCACCCCAGUCCCUUUCCCAAGACUGCCUUCUAAAAUGCUGCCUUUUAUUUUCAAAUUCAUUUUUCUUUAUAUUCAGUUCACCUUAGGUAGUAAGAAAGGCUUUGAUCUAUAUUUUAUUGGUAUUACUCAUAUGAAUACUCCUUUGUAUUAUAUAGAGGGUAUAAGCUACACAUAUCUCCUGACCUCACCCUGCCUCUUGUCCUUGCCUGCUGGUCAUGAAAUUAUAUUUAAAAUGUACAUCUGUUUAUUCCUUAAUACCAAAGAUUAAAUAGCAACAUGAAGCCUCCUUCAUUUUCUCUUUUUCUGUUGGAGAUUGAGGUUUUCUUGUAAUCAGCAAGCAAAAUAAAAACAAAAACAAGACAUGACAGAAAAAAAAAAACCAGUAUGUAAGUAGACGAAAUGACUUCCUGUUGGGGAGGUGUUUGACUGCGUGGGGGUGCACAUAAUCAAAAUCAUCAAUCCUACCCAAGCAUGACACUGGCAUAAAACACUACCAAAUGAUGACAUCCUGUUAUUCCUGCAUAAAAGAGAACAACUACCAAAUAAAUCAUUGUGUGGAAAAGAAUUGAUUUGGGAAUCAAUUGUCUGGGAAAGAAAAUCACAAAGAAGUGAUUGUGAAGACAUUCAUUUGUUCUUCAGAUAUGUAACUGUUUAAUCUGAAGUAAACUUUGGGAUGGAAAACUAUUAGGAACGUUUCUUGCUUAAUUUUGCCAUUGUACGCUCUGAUAUUGAUUGUUCAGGAUUAUUGAGCACACAUGCUGUAAUGAGAAUUGUAUAUAAUUUACUAUAUAUACUUACAUAUGAUAGACAUUAAAGGAUAUAUGUGUCUAGUAAUAGCAGAUGCAUGUUUCUGCCCACUAAAGAAAUGGUUGCAGCUUUUAAUAAAUAUGGCUAAGGGAAUGAUGUUAAGAUUACGUGUGUGUGUGUGUGUGUGUGUGUGUGUGUGCAUGCACAUAUUGUUCUGGAUUUCAAAUGAGUAUACAAAAUUAUCAUUAUCUUACACCACUUGCAUUGGGAUCUUCAGUUUUUCCUUCAAGAAGUGAAUUAUUAAUAAUAUAUUUAACUUUUAGAGUAUUAUUGUGGUAGGACUCGCCAGUUUCUUGCUACAACAUCUAUUCAUCCCUUUCUCUUUAGAAACAAACUAGAAUUUUUAUAUUGCUUCCCAUAAUAAAAAACAUAUUGCCUUCCAGAUUUUGCAGCUAAAUUUGGCUAUGGGACUAAAUUCUGGCCUUGAGUUGUUUAAGAGAGAUACUUGUGAGAGUUCUCUGAAGAUUGGUCAAAGGAAACUAACUCAGAUGGAAGAUCCAUUUGCCCUCCUGCCUUUCCUCUUAGCUUUUAGCCUGAAAAUCAGUGGUGAUGGCUGGAGAGCCAAUAGCCAUCUUGGAACACGACGUGAUUCUGAAGGUGGGAAGCAAGGCUGGGAUGGUACAGAAUAAAGAUAGGAACUUGGGUCCUUGAGAAAAUUGUGGAGCCACCAUAUCUACCUGUAAUUCCUACUUUCAGACCUUUUUCUAUGUGUGAGAGAUUUAUCUUAUUUAAGUCAUUGUUAUUUUUGUUGUUAAUACUGUUGUUGUUAAGCUAGCAUUCUAGUUGAGCCCAAGCUAGGACUCAGAGUCUGGUUAUAUCUGAUGAGCCCCUGGAUCAGCAUCCCUCAAUGCCAACUAUUAAAUGUAAUGGGUUAAUGAUGAAUGGAACUCUAUUUCACGUAACAAAGAACAACUUGUUAUGCCCAAAUAUUACGAGGUCAUAUUGCUCUUAUUUCUCUCUAACCUGAGAUUUGGGUCCGUGUUCUCUAUGAGAAAUUAGAAAUUUCUGUUGUGGUAUUCUGUUUUUGUGUUAGGAUCGUCACUGUAAAUCUACUUAAUAGUAAAAAUAAAAUCUUGCUUGGAAUUGUGAAUUAAAUGAAUUCUCCAUUGUGCAGAAACAGGAACAGCAUUAUAUUUUGUAUGUAAUACUCUUAAACAGUCAAUUCAUUUAUUCAAUUAAUAUUUUUGAGCUAUUAUGGGUUACAUAAGUUAUGGAGGGGCUUUGUUAUUUAGUCAACUCAUGUCCAAUAUCACAGGGGUCAGUUGUGAAUUUGGAAAAAAUAGAAGAAAAGAAAAAUUAAAGCAAAUGACAAAAGUCUAAAUAUUUUCCUCAAAUAAUUGUCUUUUUUUUCCUUAAUGUCUUGUGUUUACAGACUGGAAUUUAAGCCGCAUUUUUCUAGAUGGCACCAGCCUAUUGGUACAUAUAUUAAUGUCAAACAGUAAUGCUCAAAUUACACGGGUUCACAGCUGUUUCUACAUAAUUUCUUAAGUAUUCUUGCCACGAAGUCUCCCCCUCUUUUCUGGGAGACCUGGGGGAAGGGUCUCACAUGUCCUUAUGACCGGUUUGCUCACAUUACUCACUUACUAGCCACCCUUGUGCUUACAAGAUCCUUCAUGUAGGAGCGCCACCAUUCUGUCUUAUGUCAGGAUCUUCCAGUAGAACACUGCUGUCCCGUAAUAAGGCCAUAUACAUGUUCUUUCUAGGUUACAAUUUCCCACACUGCUAACUGAUGCUGCAUUCACUUUAAACUGCACCCUACUGGGGACUGACUUGUUCUAUAGAAAUGAGGUGACUGUUUCUCUAGCCAACUCUGUCAGCUUGAAGUACUACUGCUUAUGUCCUAAAAUCUCUUAUGGAAACAUUUCUUUGUCUUCUUAUUUAUAGUCCUGAAGCAUGCAUCUUUUAUUGUGCUUUAUCUCUUGUGUCUCUACUGGAGGCACCCGGGGUUUGAAGUUUUAUCCCAGCAGUUAUUUAUUCCCCGUGCACAUUUACUUUUUCUAAUAAUUGGCAGGGAGGACUUCUACUGCUCCAUCAGUUUAUGAGAGAAAACCAAACUGAAUCCGAGUUUCAGCUCAACUGGGAACCCUGCUACACCAGAACUUAACCUGGAUUCCAGAUUGCUUGAUAAAAUAGCUAGUUGAUGAUAAGCUAUAAUUUCUUGACCACACACACACACACACACACACAUGCGUACAUAUGUACAUACAGCAGUUCCCUUCAUCCACAGGAUAUGCUCAAACCCACAGUGCAUGCUUGAAAUCUCAGAAAAUACUGAACGCUAUAUAUACUAUGAGUAUUCCAAUACAUACAUACCUAUGAUAAGUUUAUGAAGUAGUCACAGUAAGAGAUUAAUAACAAUAACUAUUAAUAAAAUA